rnacentral:rRNA from 1 species
CUCCAUCUAAGGCUAAUACGUGCACGAGUCCGAUAGCGGACAAGUACCGUGAGGGAAAGUCGAAAACAACUUUGAAGAGAGAGUUCAAGAGUACGUGAAACCGCCCAGAGGUAAACGGGUGGAUCCGCAAAGUCGGCCCGCGGAAUUCAGCGCGGCGCGCGGCCCGGGACAGUCGUGGCCGGGGAUCCCUGGGACCCCGCCUCGGUGCCGAUCCGGGCUCCGCCGCGUGCACUUUCCGCGGGCAGAGUGCCACAACCGGUUCUGCGACGGCGGUCAGAAGCCCGGUGGGUUGUCGGUGGGGGCGCUCGCGUCCCUACCAGCCCACCGCGGCGGACCGCUGCGGGACCGAGGAACAGCCUACGCGCUUCGAGGCUACCUGCUCCUCCGCGUGAGUCCGACUGGGAGAGACUGGGCAACCGUGUCUUCCGACCUUUUCGCGCGCGACCGGGUUGGGCUAGCCGGGCGCGCCAGUC